UCCAGAGAAUUCGAGGCGCGUUAGCAGGUUCGCCUCUUGUUAACCAUUUGCUGAAGGGACUUCGAAAAUUCGAACGAAAUAAGCAAGCCUGAAGUAGAUACCACCUUCCUCUUUGUACCAUGCCGAUCGAAAUUAUGACUUCAUCGGCUCUUCAUUAACGCUCUAUUCUUGUGAAUAGUUUUCUGCUGAAGAUUAGCAGCAGUAAAAGUUGCAACACUUUUAAAUAGCUCGAUUACUAUUUCCUUCUCUGUUUAUUAUCGUUAUCAUUAUCGAGUAUUUGUUCCAGAACAAGGACAAGUUUUUCGAUAAACAGGAGCUGUUCUAUCGUCUGAUUUUAGGUUAUUAAUUACCUCUGGUUACGUUAGGUUAUAACUCAAUUCUGUAUCAAUCUCACCUUACGAACAAACAAUGAAUAGAGAUAGCGAGACAAACAAAGUCACAAGUAUCAUAUUUUCCGGAGAGCAUCAAGAUAUGAAAGCAGGGAAAGCAAAUCGAUAGCAGGAAACCUUGGUGAAGUAUAAGAUGGGAGAGAUAAAUAAGAAGAUACGACCCUGCGAGUAAAAUCAGAAACACAAGGAUUUAAUAAAGGAAACAAUGUUGCAAAACGAGGUACAAGUAUAAAACAUGGGAAUGAACGGGUGGUAAGAGACAAGCAAAGAAUAAAGGUCAAAAAGUUUGAAGAAGAAGACGAGGAAGAAAUAAGAAGCCGAAGAGGAAGAAGAGUAUCGAAGGGAGGUGGAAGCGAAAGAGGGUAAAAGAAACGAAAAGGAGUAGGUGGAAAGAGAGAGUAGAAGAGAUCGAAAGAGAGUAGAAGGCAAGAGAGUAAAGUGGGCUGCGCCGGGUGCCAUGGUGUGUGGCGCGUGGUUAAAUAUAAACCUGUGGCAGCCACCACGAAGAAGGAGGGCAGGAGGAGAAGUGGAAUGAACGGGGCAACUCUCUUCUCGUGCUUGCACAGAAAUGCACGGGGCGGUUGCUCCGUACCGUUGAAAUGUGACAUGCGCUCAUUAACAUAUAAAUUAAACGUGACAACUGGGGGUCAGUUAUACUUUAACCGUGGCGACCACCGUCAGGCCACGAUCCACUUUCCGUUGUUUUUUACCUACCCCUCCCUACUUGCUUUUCCUUUUUAUUCGACCCAUCAAAUUCAUGCGUCGAAUCUUUUCGCAGCCAUUUCAUUUUUCUUUUGUUACGACUCGUCGACAUUCGACCGCUCUCUUUUUUCGACAUCCUCCCACGAUUUCAGGAAGUCGUCGGCAAUUUACCCACCUGGCAAGAAUUUUUCUUUUUUCGAUCAAGCUCGUAAAUACGGCUUUUUGCGAUUUCGACUGGGAAUACCCGAGACCGAAUAGAAGAAAAACAUAGGUAAAUUUAGCGGAAACCUUCGGCAAGGAUGUCUGAUGACCGGAUGUCUGGCGUCGCACGACCAUCCAAGGAACGACGGUUCGAUUGAAUUCACUGAAAGGAAGUUGAUUUCUACGUCGCAUGAAGCUCAUUGUGAUCGACCACUGGAGAGAGAAAGAGCUACUCAAUUAAUCUGACUUCUUUAAUCGGAAGUUGCUGGAGUCGCAUAGAAAUAACAAAAUUAUUAUACUGCUGACUUGGCAGCUGAAGGCCUGAUGGUGCAGAAACUUGGAAAAAGAAUAGGACUCAUACAUUUUCAAGAUUUGACAAUUCAUAAAUUUGAGAAAAGAGAAACAUGGAUAUACCUGACAAGGAAUUUAGAGCUAGAGAACCUUAAGUCUACAGGAAGAGACUAGGCCCGGAAUGUGAACCAUAUUUGACAAUUCAUAAAUUGAAAAACAUAGAGAUUAAUAUACCUGACAAGGGAUUUAGAGCUAGAGAAGCUUAAGUCUACAGGAAGAGGCUAGGUCCCAGAACGUGAACUAGAGCGAAUCCUAGAAGAAGGCGAAUGUAGUUGAACGUAAAGAAAAGUGGAAGAUACAAGGAUGUGUCAGCUCGAAGGAUGCAAUCGUACGUAACUAAGACGGCGGGACCACGCAACGUGUCCCCAGGUUUUGCAUAAAACGGCGGCGGUGAUCGAUGAUCCGGUGGACGAAACUGGUCUGGCUUAGAAACCAGUCCCCUUAUUCCCGUCGAACCGGGGCCAACAAACAAAGGAGAGAAGGCAGGCGAGCACACACUCGGCCAGAAUCGUAUUGUUUUAAGACAACGGGGACGCACGUUGCGUGGUUCUUCGGGGCUUGGCCGAGGAACGAGUCGUGGACCGGUAGACAAAACUGACCAACCUGGUCGGUUAUCCUGCUGCCUCUGGUGAACGAGGCGGGCUUUGGUCAUUGCCGGCUCGCGACGUGCUGUUAUUCUGGGCUCUACCAGGCUAUAUUUAGACGAGACCACCUUGAGGGAACUCGGGAGAGCCCGAGUGCUCUCCGCGAACUGCUACACCAGUCUUUUCUCUAUUGGCCGAUAUAGUUGUGCAACCAUGUUGUCGCGAUCCUUUGCAAUUCCUCUUCCUCCUUGUUUCUUUUCAACUUUCAAACGCUAUUUACUUUUAUUUGCUGUUGGGUUAGUGCCGUUAAGUGGCCUUCGAUUAGGCCCAACAUUCUAGGUUCUAUUCGUUCAUUAUGAAGUACAUUCGUACACUCUUUUAUGAAUGUACUUUUGGAUGCACUAUCGAUUCGAGUAAAAUAGGAUUACAGAGGAGCUUCCCUAAAACUGUUCUUCAAUGUGGGUCAAGUUGCUGAAUUUAGAAAAAGACUUCUGACCCCUCCCUGGAGGGAAAAUCUGUCUCGCUCUCUGAGAACAAAUAGGUUCUCGAGUUAGUUGCUAUGAAAAUCGAAAUCCGCGAUCGUGACGGAGGUCGUUGCGCCAGGAAUGGUUUAUAGAAUUGAAGCGAAGUUGUACGCGACAAUGUUUCGUAGUCAAAUAUAUCACCGGUCGAGAUUAACGCGGCAAUAUUGGAGGCGUGAAACAGCCUUUAUGUACCUUUGUCCAGUGGCACGAUACUAUUUCAACGAAUGCGCAGACAGAUCCCGUUAGCGUGUCGCUGUAGCAAACAUUGUUUGGUUGUUUCGAUCUAACAGACUGGUUCAAAGUUUCUCGAUCAAACGGUCUGUGAAAAAUGAUUACGCGUCUGGCUAACAAUGUGUCGACAUCGGUUGCAACCGGCUCGGCGGCGAGAAUACGUUAAGCUCGGUCUCAUCGCGAAUUCUUCAUGGUACUUUUUUAAAUUUAUGUCCUACUGUCUCAUAAUUGUUCGCCGCAUCCAUAAAACAUGCCUCGUGGAUAUUUCAUCUUUCCGCCUCUGCACGGUGAUCCACGUCGUCCCUCAAAAUUAUGCCUUUAAACUCGUCUUUACGUCGGGGAACGGCGCGGCGACGACUGCUCGUCUCGGUGCAUCGGCAAUCGUCGUGUUCGCUGAAUAACAAUGGAGCAAUCGUUGUCCGUAUCUUUCGAGUCACUUUAAUCGCGCAAAUCGACGGUCAAACGCUGAAAUCACGAUCGCGGCUGGAAAACAACCUUCUAUUCAUCGCGCUCUACGAUCCCCUUCCUGUUUGUCAGAGACGGAAGUCACACCUGAGGAGGAAGACUCCAAAGGAAGUUAAGAACGUGGCAGAAUAUUGAUUUCUUAAUCACCACAGUCUCAUCACGAAUGUCAACAAUAUCGGCAAGGACUGCUCCAAAACUGAUUGCGUUUACGAUCUACACAUUCGAACGCGUUUUGGUACCUAUUAUAAUUCUUUGCUCCAUGUCUUCACUUGGAAGAACGAGUUUAAGCAUUGAAAGAAGGAUGACACACGUGGUGCGUCAUUGGAUGAAAUUUAAAAUCUGGCAAGUUUCUUGAAAAAUCUUUAAUAUAUUAAAUUUAAUAAAUUGUAGGUGAUAUUUGAAUUAAAAGCAGCAGUUUAGAAUGGCUUCUAUUAAAUUAUGUAAGGUGGCUAUUCGUUUGGUGCACGAUCGGUAUCUAAGGUAUCAAGACAUUUCUAUGGUUCAUUUUGCAAACUUAAUCAGCGGCUACAAACUGUAUAGCAUGCGGACAUUUAUCGUGUUUCAGGAUCGAACAAAUUACACGGAAUCGGUAGGGCCAGUGUCCCCGGCACGUUCUCGGUUAGCCGCUUUUCAGCCGGCCUGGCAAGGCGACAUUUCUCUCUCGCCGAAGGUGACAAGCAACAACGGUAAUGUUGUGCCAGAAAUACCUCUCUUCCCGAUACAACACGCUGGCUACCACACGGCAGAACGGAAAGAUCGCUUCCCGGAAUUCGCGAGCGUGUGAACGGAUCACGUCCUGGCCCGUUAAUGGUGGCUAUUAGUGUUCUCGAGGGAGACCGUUUACGUGCACCAAGAUCUUGCCAAACGACAACGCUCCGUGUCGCAGAUAAAUUCGUUCCUCUCGGAGGUCUGCGCCGGUGAAACGUACCCGUGCCUCUUUAUCUUGAAUAUCAAUCGAUAAUCCUUUGGCUCGUUAACUCUUUUCCCUCCUUCUUUCAUAUACUUUGUAUGUCCCUGCUCGUCCCUCGCUAUCGUGAAAACUUCGACUUUUCUUGCAGCGGAACGCGUGUGGGACUCGGUGAAAACUCAACCGUUGCUCGAGAUGUUAACGACCCGACCCGGUACUCCGAACACGACCAAAAAAGGGACGAAGAGAGACUCUCGUUGACCGAGCGAAUUCUUUCCAGGGAAUUAGAAAGCAGCCGGGGAAACAGCGGCGAGCACGCCAUUAGAUAAUUGAACUUGAAGCCGCAGCCUUACGCCAAUUAAGCUCUCGGAUUAUCCUGAGGAGACAGCGUCGCUAGUCGUUCGUGCGUGGGACCCCUGAUCAGCAGUCACCACCGGGCAAACGGUGCAACUGCCACGAGUUCCGUACUUGGCCGGGAUGCGUAAUCGAAUCUGUUGGGCAAUUCCUAUAUCUCGGGAUUACCACAUAAAUUUUCUAAUCCAAGAAAUACAAAUUUUAAAAAUUUUGAAUGAAGAAAAUUAGAAAGUUCCUAAAUUUAUAAUACGAGGUUGGGUAGUGCUGAUCCGAGAUUAGUAUUUUCGCUGCAUGCCGUGCAAUCUGCUCGCAAAGUUGGACUUUCCUCUUCACCGGCCAUAACUUCCUAAAUUAUACCGUUAACGCACGAUAUUCUGGAUUCCAGGAUGAUCGUUGAUAGCCGCACCGCAGCCAAAGAUCAGUUCAUCGAUAAGAGUGCUCGUUAAAGAGGAUGGAGGAGGACGAUUCGUUUUUUCGGCUUCGUUUCAUCGCGUCGAGAUCGUUCGGUUUUUAUUAGGUGACAGCGCUUCGCUCGGCAACCUUCUCUUCCGCCAAUUAAACGGGCCCGAAGACGCGAAUAAUUAACGGAGCAUGCAGGUGAACAAGAUGGCCGUGGAAAUCGUAACGCGGCCACGAUAAUAACAUCGUUCUUCUGAGAUCUUACGCAAUCGUUAAAAAGGUUUAACGCGGACGAGCAGAAGAAACGGGGUGCAAUCAGAAAGUGGGCGGAUUAAACGCUUUAAUUAACUUGUUAUGAAAUCGUUAACCGCCAGGAUAGGUUUGAUUCGAUCUUACGCUAAUGACGCUACGAUUAACGUUCCAGGGAGCUUUUUUUUUCUUCGUUAUGACGAUAAACAUGUUAUCGUUCGAGUAAAUCGUUAAUUCCACCGAGUAAAAUUGAUUUCUUCGAGGGAAUUCUCGAUACUCGAGUAAGCGAAGCGAGUUUAUCGCUGUGUAGAUUGAAAAGUUAAAGGAGAAGGAAAAAACAGGCAAGCGAAUAGUAGAUAACCGAUUGAACGAACUGAAUAUGGAACUUCAUUCGAAGAGAUCAAAGGUGUUGAACAAUAUUUAGAUCCGAUGUAUUUAUAUUUAGCCUCGUGCCGCGCAUACAACAACGAGCUCCGAUAUAAACACAUAAUAGAGCGUAUUUACUAACUCAACGCGCCAUUAUACAUUCUAAUUCGAGGAAUGAGAAGCAAAACGUCGUAACUGUCUGGUUUUAUAAUAGAGACAGAAACCAAGGGCACUCCUCCCGUUUCCAGCCGUAAUAAAACGGAAAAUUUACGAUAACCGAUCGAUACGAGCGAAAGAUGUGCGAGUUCCCGACAUUUCGCGCUAGGAUCGAGCCGGGUGGGUUCGAUCAGGUACGCGAAACACGUGUGCUCUCCGGUAGCCCGACUUGGGAAUCGACUCAAUUCUCUCUGACUUCGUUCGAAUGUCAAAUUAUCCGAAGUUGCAUCGGACAUCUUCCGAUUCGAUUCUAUUCAACAACUCGGGUAUUCGAAAGCGAAACAUUUUGGAGGGAGAUUAAUUGAAAAGUUAUCGAAAUACGACCGAGACGAUUCGAGUUUCGCGAUACGCUGGAAGACUUAUCGGUCGGGAAAGGUGUUCAAAUUGUGUCCAACGAACGGUACACCGUCUAAAAAUACAUUUCUAAACCGGAGAAUCAUUGCGCGACGGCCCUGUUCGCGAGGAACGCGUGCAGCGCUCGCGUCGAGUGGUGGGGGGAAGUACACAACUCUUUUAUGCACGGACGCAUGCGUACGAGAGGGAAUCGCGCGGACGCAUGCGCGAUCGCGACGCGGGGCCGCGGUGGGAGCAGCGCGCACACAGAAACAGGGCGGUGCUUUCAUUUAUUCAUAAAUCAACAGCGUCUAUUUAUAGGUACCCGACGGACAAAUAGCGAUAGUUGUGCGCGCGACGUUGUAUCCUUGAAUGGCGAAACAAUCGAAUGGAAAUUAAUGCGGCCCGAUGAAAAAUUAGACGCGGACCUCGACGACACCCGGCUGCGUGCUCGAGGAAGAGAGCACGUGGACAACUUUCAGCGGUGCGUCUGGUUUCGUUCGGUCAGGGUCAUAGACACCAGGUCUACGAUAAUUAUCUGGCUCCUUAAUACAUGUUUCUGGAAAGUUUUCAAUCGAGACGAUAUUGAAUCUCGCUAUAUGGCUCUGUAUAGAGAUGCCCAAGACAAAUCAUAAAUAUUCAAAUUUGACAAAUUUUUCGUGCUUGUCUGGUAGGCUCGAGUGACAGGAUACUGUUUUGACGCGUCAAGAAUGUUAAAGUCGCGAUGUUACACAAGAAUUUUCUCGAGCGUCUACAUUUUUAAAUCUGACAUUCUUCAACUCUCACAUUCACAAAUUUUGAAGAUGCUUAUAUUACUGAACUAAAACUUAUUCUUCUCAACUAGAACUCCAAAUUCGAACAGCUCCACAUUAUCAAAUUGAGAAUUAAAAAAUCCAAAAAUAUUACGAGAGAAUGCACAUUUCUCGUUUAUCCAAUAAACGGGUGUCGUAAGCUCGCAACGAGUUUGCAGCCGAUCCAACGAUUUCUCAACGUCCGAUGAAUUCUCUGAUCGGUCGACAAACGGGACAUCGGCGAAUCGGCACCGCCUCCGCGGAAAAACGCGUGGAUCGCGCGCGCUUGGGAAAUGUAUCGGAAUGGACCAAGAUCCGUUUAAAUCUCGUCAGAUCCACGCACAUCGGUUCUCCGGUGGGUGUCGCUGGCCGACGAGGCUCUGCUUGGAAGUCCGAGAGACGAGCAUACGGAUGGUGUAGGCUCGUAUAUGGGACGGGAUACGAGAGAAAAAGAGAGAAAGAGAGAGAGAGGGAGCGAAAGAGAGAGAGAGAAACGAACGAGAUGGGAACGCGGCUGUACGAGGCUGCUGGCUGCUUGGCUCCGCUGAUGCUGAUGCCGAUGCCGGUGCUGCCCGUGUUGGUUGUAGCUGGUUCGUUCAGUCUGUCGCUUGGCAAAGCAAUAGCCCAGGCUAAAUAUAGCCUGGCGAUAAACAUAGGCAGUUAGUGGAGCCACGGUGUAUAGUGGCGUCGGUAUCCUUGGAUAUACUCGAAUGACGCCGGAUACACGAGUCUCUUUCUCUUUCUCUCUCUCCUGUAACGCCGUGGGAUUUCGGUUCUACCUGACAACCAUUCAAGAAUCCCGACCAGGUCGAAAACGAGAUGAAGGGACGGUCAAUCUGGAACGAACCCGGUUCGGUGCCUUUAUACUCGAUCAUCGACUAAGUGUACUCUUGUUUCGAUCUCGCGUAUCCUUUAUGUUAUACCGUUUCUACGUUUAUUUAUAAAAUCUUGCCAUGUUGGUACGUUUUUACAGACUGAGCGAAUAAACUGCAAAAGACCUUAAUCAAGGUCGUUA